ensembl:lncRNA
AGCAGCAGGAUGCAGAACCUCCCCCUCUCGGGCCGACCCAGCAGAACUCACACCUUUUGUCCGCAGGAAUGUGAGGAAUCCCCAGCUUCCAGACUGGGAGUCCUGAAGGAGGAUCUCCAGGCCCUCGAUGAGGAGCUGGUCUGAGGCUCCGACAUCAAACUGGAUGCUUGUCUGUCUUCAAUGUUUCAAACAGUUUCCCCCUUAAAUCAUUAAGGAUGAAUGCUUCCACACUCUUCGUUUCUGAAACCACUAAAAAAAUAAAAACAAUAAUUAUUUCUUUUCCAGUGAGUCAGGUUUCUUCUCAGCUCCUCAGCAGCUGAAUAACAGGAUCAAGAAUAAACUGUCAGGUUGCUGCUGUUGGCAGCGAGCAGCUGUAACUCAAAUGGCUCCACACAGUAUCACGAUCUGGACCCGACCCGGGAACCAGUUCUGCUUCAGAGCGAGCCACCGUGGUUCACCCGCAGCUACAGAGACGACUGGAGCUGCUGAACAGGUGGAUGUUAGUCAACAGGGGUUCUGCCCAGCGGUUCUGGUCACCGGUUCUGCCCAGCGCUUCUUUUCUUUUUUUUUUUUUUUUUUUGGUUCUCCUCUAUGGCUCUUUUCCGCACUUUUUCUCAGCGCUUCUUCUCAUUGGUUCUUCUCAUUGGUUAUACACAGCUGUUCUGCUCGGUGGUUCUGCUCAGCGGUUCUUCUCAUUGGUUCUUCUCAGCGGUUCUUCUCAUUGGCUCAUCUCAUUGGUUCUUCUCAGCGGUUCUGCCCAGCUGUUCUGUUCAGCGGGUUCUUCUCAUUGGUUCUUCUCAUUGGUCCUGCUCAGCGGUUCUGCUCAGCAGUUCUUCUCAUUGGUUCUUCUCAUUGGUUACACCCAGCGGUUCUGACCAGCUGUUCUGCUCAGUGGUUCUUCUCAUUGGUUCUUCUCAUUGGUCCUGCUCAGCGGUUCUGCUCAGCAGUUCUUCUCAUUGGUUCUUCUCAUUGGUUACACCCAGCGGUUCUGACCAGCUGUUCUGCUCAGUGGUUCUUCUCAUUGGUUCUUCUCAUUGGUUCUUCUCAGCGGUUCUUCUCAUUGGCUCAUCUCAUUGGUUCUUCUCAGCGGUUCUGCCCAGCUGUUCUGUUCAGCGGGUUCUUCUCAUUGGUUCUUCUCAUUGGUCCUGCUCAGCGGUUCUGCUCAGCAGUUCUUCUCAUUGGUUCUUCUCAUUGGUUACACCCAGCGGUUCUGACCAGCUGUUCUGCUCAGUGGUUCUUCUCAUUGGUUCUUCUCAUUGGUCCUGCUCAGCGGUUCUGCUCAGCAGUUCUUCUCAUUGGUUCUUCUCAUUGGUUACACCCAGCGGUUCUGACCAGCUGUUCUGCUCAGUGGUUCUUCUCAUUGGUUCUUCUCAUUGGUUCUUCUCAGCGGUUCUUCUCAUUGGCUCAUUCUCAUUGGUUCUUCUCAGCGGUUCUGCCCAGAUGUUCUGUUUCAGCGGGUUUCUUCUCAUUUGGUUCUUCUCAUUGGUCCUGCUCAGCGGUUCUGCUCAGCAGUUCUUCUCAUUGGUUCUUCUCAUUGGUUACACCCAGCGGUUCUGACCAGCUGUUCUGCUCAGUGGUUCUUCUCAUUGGUUCUUCUCAUUGGUCCUGCUCAGCGGUUCUGCUCAGCAGUUCUUCUCAUUGGUUCUUCUCAUUGGUUACACCCAGCGGUUCUGACCAGCUGUUCUGCUCAGCUGUUCUGUUCAGCGGUUCUUCUCAGUGGUUCUUCUCAUUGGUUCUUCUUAUUGGUUCUUCUCAUUGGUUCUGCUGUGUUGGGCGUUGA